rnacentral:rRNA from 1 species
GCCUACGGGGGGCAGCAGUAGGGAAUCUUCCCCAAUGGGCGAAAGCCUGAUGGAGCAACGCCGCGUGGGUGAAGAAGGUCUUCGGAUCGUAAAACCCUGUUGUUAGAGAAGGAAGUGCGUGAGAGUAACUGUUCACGUUUCGACGGUAUCUAACCAGAAAGCCACGGCUAACUACGUGCCAGCAGCCGCGGUAAUACGUAGGUGGCAAGCGUUAUCCGGAUUUAUUGGGCGUAAAGGGAACGCAGGCGGUCUUUUAAGUCUGAUGUGAAAGCCUUCGGCUUAACCGGAGUAGUGCAUUGGAAACU